AACGAACGCUGGCGGCAUGCCUAACACAUGCAAGUCGAACGAAGGCUUCGGCCUUAGUGGCGCACGGGUGCGUAACGCGUGGGAAUCUGCCCUUUGGUUCGGAAUAACAGCUGGAAACGGCUGCUAAUACCGGAUGAUGACGAAAGUCCAAAGAUUUAUCGCCAGAGGAUGAGCCCGCGUUGGAUUAGGUAGUUGGUGGGGUAAAGGCCUACCAAGCCGACGAUCCAUAGCUGGUCUGAGAGGAUGAUCAGCCACACUGGGACUGAGACACGGCCCAGACUCCUACGGGAGGCAGCAGUGGGGAAUAUUGGACAAUGGGCGCAAGCCUGACCCAGCAAUGCCGCGUGAGUGAUGAAGGCCCUAGGGUUGUAAAGCUCUUUUACCCGGGAAGAUAAUGACUGUACCGGGAGAAUAAGCCCCGGCUAACUCCGUG
rnacentral:rRNA from 1 species